CCUACGGGUGGCAGCAGUGAGGAAUAUUGGUCAAUGGGCGAGAGCCUGAACCAGCCAAGUCGCGUGAGGGAGUACUGCCCUAUGGGUUGUAAACCUCUUUUGUCGGGGAGCAAAAGCCGGACGUGUCCGGCUGUGAGAGUACCCGAAGAAAAAGCAUCGGCUAACUCUGUGCCAGCAGCCGCGGUAAUACGGAGGAUGCGAGCGUUAUCCGGAUUUAUUGGGUUUAAAGGGUGCGCAGGCGGAUCGUUAAGUCAGUGGUCAAAUUGAGGGGCUCAACCCCUUCCCGCCAUUGAAACUGGCGCUCUUGAGUGGAAGAGAAGUAUGCGGAAUGCGUGGUGUAGCGGUGAAAUGCAUAGAUAUCACGCAGAACUCCGAUUGUGAAGGCAGCAUACCGGCGCCCAACUGACGCUGAAGCACGAAAGCGUGGGUAUCGAACAGGAUUAGAUACCCCAGUAGUC
rnacentral:rRNA from 1 species